rnacentral:rRNA from 1 species
GACGAACGCUGGCGGCGUGGAUUAGGCAUGCAAGUCGAACGGUAUCAUCCUUUCGGGGGUGAGAGAGUGGCGAACUGGUGAGUAACACGUAGGUUAUCUACCCUCAAGACGGGGACAACCCAGGGAAACUUGGGCUAAUACCGGAUGUGAGCAACUUUUAGUUGUUUGAAAGGUGGCGUAAGCUGUCGCUUGGGGAUGAGCCUGCGUCCUAUUAGUUAGUUGGUGAGGUAACGGCUCACCUAGGCAAUGAUAGGUAGGCGGCCUUAACGGGUGGUCGCCCACACUGGGAUUGAGAGACGGCCCAGACUCCUACGGGAGCAGCAGUCGAGAAUAGUCUACAAUGGACGAAGUCUGAUAGUGCGACGCCGCGUGAACGAAGAAUCCCUUCGGGGUGUAAAGUUCUUUUAUACGUGAGCAGUGCCCUUUAUAUGAAUAGUAUAGAGGGAGGAUUUAAGCGUAUGAAUAAGCAACGGCUAACUCCGUGC